GCUACCAUGCAAGUCGAGGGGUAGGGUUACUUCGGUAUCUGAGACCGGCGCACGGGUGCGUAACGCGUAUGCAAUCUACCUUUUACUAUGGGAUAGCCCAGAGAAAUUUGGAUUAAUACCAUAUAGUAUAUUUGAAUGGCAUCGUUUGAAUAUUAAAGAUUUAUCGGUAAAAGAUGAGCAUGCGUCCCAUUAGUUAGUUGGUGUGGCAACGGCAUACCAAGACGAUGAUGGGUAGGGGUCCUGAGAGGGAGAUCCCCCACACUGGUACUGAGACACGGACCAGACUCCUACGGGAGGCAGCAGUGAGGAAUAUUGGUCAAUGGAGGCAACUCUGAACCAGCCAUGCCGCGUGCAGGAUGACGGUCCUAUGGAUUGUAAACUGCUUUUGUACGGGAAGAAACAAACUACGAGUAGUUAAUUGACGGUACCGUAAGAAUAAGGAUCGGCUAACUCCGUGCCAGCAGCCGCGGUAAUACGGAGGAUCCAAGCGUUAUCCCGGAAUCAUUGGGUUUAAAGGGUCCGUAGGCGGCCUUAUAAGUCAGUGGUGAAAGUUUUUGGCUUAACCAAAAAAUUGCCAUUGAUACUGUAGGGCUUGAAUAUCUGUGAAGUAACUAGAAUAUGUAGUGUAGCGGUGAAAUGCUUAGAUAUUACAUGGAAUACCGAUUGCGAAGGCAGGUUACUAACAGAUGAUUGACGCUGAUGGACGAAAGCGUGGGUAGCGAACAGGAUUAGAUACCCUGGUAGUCCACGCCGUAAACGAUGGAUACUAGCUGUUUGGUUUUCGGACUGAGUGGCUAAGCGAAAGUGAUAAGUAUCCCACCUGGGGAGUACGGUCGCAAGACUGAAACUCAAAGGAAUUGACGGGGGCCCGCACAAGCGGUGGAGCAUGUGGUUUAAUUCGAUGAUACGCGAGGAACCUUACCAGGGCUUAAAUGUAGAUUGACAGAUUUGGAAACGGAUUUUUCUUCGGACAAUUUACAAGGUGCUGCAUGGUUGUCGUCAGCUCGUGCCGUGAGGUGUCAGGUUAAGUCCUAUAACGAGCGCANCCCCUGUUGUUAGUUGCCAGCACGUAAUGGUGGGAACUCUAGCAAGACUGCCAGUGUAA
rnacentral:rRNA from 1 species